UUCAAGUUGAAGAGGAAGCAAUUCCCUAUUCGUCUGAGUUUUGCAAUGACCAUAAACAAAGCCCAGGGGCAAACCAUCCCAACUGUUGGCAUUUACCUUCCGGAGCCUGUAUUCUCUCACGGUCAGCUUUAUGUUGCACUGUCAAGGGGUGUUUCAAGGCAGACAACUCGGGUUCUGGCAAAGCCAAAUAAAGAAAUAGAUCAAAUUGGUAAAAGCACCAAAAACAUUGUGUAUAGAGAUGUCUUGGAGGGAUGA
rnacentral:rRNA from 1 species